UAUCUUGUUCUGUUGAGGUUCUACAUUGAUCUAUAUGGAGGUUGGGUCCUGGAAGGGGAAAUCGGUGCUGAUUCGGGGGGUUUUUCGGUGUUCCGUGGGUUAAUUGGGGUGUUUUUAAUGAAAGUUGGGUCCUGGAAGGGGAAAUUGGAAGUGGUUGCAUCUCUCUAGCUUGUUUGGUUGCGGAGUUAUUGAGAUUUAUAGGGAAUUUGGGUCCUGGAAGGGGAAAUCGGCAGUGGUUCCAUCCCUCUAUCUUGUUCUGUUGAGGUUCUACAUUGAUCUAUAUGGAGGUUGGGUCCUGGAAGGGGAAAUCGGGGCUGAUUUGAGGGGUUUUUUGGUGUUCCGUGGGUUAAUUAGGGUGUUUUUAAUGAAGGCUGGGUCUUGGAAGGGGAAAUUGGAAGUGGUUGCAUCUCUCUAGCUUGUUUGGUUGCGGAGUUAUUGAGAUUUAUAGGGAAUUUGGGUCCUGGAAGGGGAAAUCGGCAGUGGUUGCAUCCCUUUAUCUUGUUCUGUUGGGGCUCUAUGGAGUUCUAUAUGGAGGUUGGGUCCUGGAAGGUGAAAAGUGAGGUGGUUCCAUCCCUCCAUGAGGUUCUAAUGGAGCUCUAUUGAGUUCUAUAGGGAAUCUGGGUCCUGGAAGGGGAAAUCGGCAGUGGUUGCAUCCCCCUAUGAGGUUCCAAAGGGGCUCUAUUGAGUUCUAUGGGGAAGUUGGGUCCUGGAAGGUGAAAAGUGAGGUGGUUGCAUCC